rnacentral:rRNA from 1 species
GAUGAACGCUGGCGGCGUGCUUAACACAUGCAAGUCGAACGGAAAGGCCAGUGCUUGCACUGGUACUCGAGUGGCGAACGGGUGAGUAACACGUGGGUGAUCUGCCCUGUACUUCGGGAUAAGCUUGGGAAACUGGGUCUAAUACCGGAUAGGACAACUUUUUGGAUAUUGUUGUGGAAAGCUUUUGCGGUAUGGGAUGAGCUCGCGGCCUAUCAGCUUGUUGGUGGGGUAAUGGCCUACCAAGGCGUCGACGGGUAGCCGGCCUGAGAGGGUGUACGGCCACAUUGGGACUGAGAUACGGCCCAGACUCCUACGGGAGGCAGCAGUGGGGAAUAUUGCACAAUGGGCGCAAGCCUGAUGCAGCGACGCCGCGUGGGGGAUGAAGGCCUUCGGGUUGUAAACUCCUUUCGCUAGGGACGAAGCUUUUUUGUGACGGUACCUGGAGAAGAAGCACCGGCUAACUACGUGCCAGCCGCCGCCGUAACAC